AACAAUAUUGUUAACAAGUUGUUCAACCAUCAGUACUGUUGCAAGUUGUUAACAUGAUUGUCAACAAGUUGCAACAAUGUUGAUGGUUGAACAACUUGUUAACAAUAUU